rnacentral:rRNA from 1 species
ACGAACGCUGGCGGCGUGCUUAACACAUGCAAGUCGAACGCGCCUGUCCUCUGGGUUUCUGGGGGGUGGGUGAGUGGCGAACGGGUGAGUAACACGUGAGUAACCUGCCCCCUUCUUCGGGAUAACGGUCUGAAAGGGCUGCUAAUACCGGGUAUUCACUGGUCUCCGCAUGGGGUCUGGUGGAAAGGUUUUUUUCUGGUGGGGGAUGGGCUCGCGGCCUAUCAGCUUGUUGGUGGGGUGAUGGCCCACCAAGGCUUUGACGGGUAGCCGGCCUGAGAGGGUGACCGGUCACAUUGGGACGGAGAUACGGCCCAGACUCCUACGGGAGGCAGCAGUGGGGAAUAUUGCACAAUGGGCGCAAGCCUGAUGCAGCGACGCCGCGUGAGGGAUGGAGGCCUUCGGGUUGUGAACCUCUUUCGCCCGUGGUCAAGCCGCGACGUGGGUCGUGGUGAGGGUAGUGGGUAAAGAAGCGCCGGCUAACUACGUG